rnacentral:tRNA from 1 species
AAGAUUUUAAGUUAAUUAAACUAUUAAUUUUCAAAGUUAAACAUAUAUAAUCUAUAAUAUAUAAAUCUUA